CAGCUCCGUCCUCCCAGGGGGCGCUGCAGGCACGUCUGCUUGGGCAGGGGCCCGGCGGAAGCGCCGCUCUAGGCUGCAGCCGCGCCCCCAGCCGUAUUUCCGCGGGCGCUGAGCACUAGAGAGAGCGUCUUGUGGCUGCGGCCUGCCCCUCAGCCUCCUCCGCGCGGUUACCCCUGUACCCGCCGCCAUCCGUCCUGGCGCUCCGGAUGAGUCAAUGAGGGGCAGGGCCCGAGGAGUGGUCUUCCCAAGAACCCCUGGUGGCCUCCCAAGGCCGGUGCUGUGUACCUCCUCCCCGACAAAAGGGGAAACUGAGGCCCCGAGGGGAGUGGGAAGAGCCGGCUGGACGUCAGGCCCAGCCGCUGGUGCAGUGGUCCGUCCCCUCUGCCGGGGUGGGCCCCUCGGGUUUCGCGUGUCCUCGGGAAAGAGACUGGCGGGUGAGCCGCGCCCUCGGCCUUCGCUGGGCUAAGCCGACCCCAUGCAGACGUCAAACCCCCCUAGGUCGGCACAGCCUCUCUGCGGGGAGGCUUAGUGCCCCCUUGAGAAACGGCUUGGCAACGCUGUGCCCGGGGCCUUGCACGCGGGCUGAGGGGGCUAGAGACCUCGCGACUUUUACUCCCCCGACCCCGAUCUCCGACUCCUGACUUUGGAAGCCCCCAAAGCUGCUUUUCGGUUGCCUACAAAGUGUCGGUCAUUGUGCCACGUCCUUGGAACCGUGAACUCAUUUUCUCCUCAAUAACCUUUAAAAAGUAGCUGUAAAACCUCCAUUUUACAGACCAGUUGGCUGAGGUUUAAAUGGAGGACGCUCCCAGGGCCCCAGAGGGGCGAAUUCCAGACUCCUUUGCCAGGACCUUGUACUAAGCCCCUUCCCUACGCUUUUCCCUGCCUAGGCCUCGUGGGCUGUGCGGCUAUCCUGGAGACAGAUGACAGCUCUCCCUUGGAUGGCUUUGCUGGUUCCGCACCAGCCAGCGCCCCCAUUUUUCCUGCAGCACCCUGAUCUGCACUCCCUGAGGGGCUCCCACUGUCCGCGGUGUGAGGAUGUCCCUGGGUAAGUGGUGCUGGUCAUGAGCACUUUGGGGGACCCUUCAAAUUCCCUUCUGGGGGACCCCAGCGGAGGGCAUGGUCAUGAAUUCCGAGAACUGUAUGGCAAAGCCGGGUGCAGAGGAGAGCCUGGCUAAGUUCUUUCAUUCUCCUGAGCUUGACUUUCUGUAAUGUAGGGAAACUGCGAAAGCUCUGUAAGUGGGGAGAUCUUGCACGUUUUUCUUGCUUUUGAACCCAUGAUGUCUGGCUACUUGUAGAUACUCAAUAUUUGUGGGAUGAAUGAACAAUUUAAGCCUUUUUUUUUUUUAACCAGAAAUUGGUCUUCUGUGACUUUCUUGAUGGGGGCAGAUGAGAUCUUUGUACUGCAUUAAGUGGAUAGCGCUCAGGUCCUUUGGGCUUGGCGCUUUGGCAAUCUCCAGGCAGCUCACUUUGGCCUCUGUUCCUGGAUCCCCUUUGCUCUUUUCUGCGCCUGCAUUCGUAAGUGAUCACGGGCUGCCCGUGUCCUGGUCAUUGGUAGUGCAGGCAGAGGAAAUGCGGGAAAGGUUGCUGUGUUUGGAGGGUCCACAUCUUCACCCUCCUGUCCCAGGAGCUUUCCUACACUCCUCCUUCUCAAAGCUGCACACACCUGGGGCCUCCAGGGGAUUGGGGGCUGCCGUGUGUGUUAUAUCAUGAUUAGAGCUUUCACUUCCUGCUCCCUGCUGUUGGGAACCAGGCUGUGUGUGUUGCUUAAAUUCCCCUUGAUGACCAGCAGAGUCACUGCCACUCAGCCAUGGCACACUGCUGUAAACCUGGUUUUGAUCUCCUUUCAAUCUUUUGCUGAUUAACUACACAUUGAUCAGUGUUGGCCACCCUCACCCUGCCAUAGACCAUCCGCUGUCUUCCUCUGUAGAGUUAACUAUUUUCUCUUUUAUGAGGAAAUAGUGUGUUUGCUUAGGAGUGUUUACUGUCUGGUAACUACUGUGCUAAGCCCUUUCCUGUUGCCUGCCAUCCCUGCUGCGAGCAGGGACAAGCUGGGUGCUCACUCAUGGCAUCUUAUCUGUUGCAGAUAGUCCACUGUGUGCAGAGGCAUGGGAGUUGUCAUGUUGGGAACAUGCUAGACCUCAGUAUCCUUGAGGUUGAAGAAAGACGACAGAACACUGGAGACCAAGUACUUACAGCCUUCUGCUCUGUGGCCCCUCCUCACUCCAGGGAUGCUGCCUUGGGUCUGGAAACUGUUAGAGGAAACCCCAAGAGGUGCAGGCACUGAGCCUCUCAGGACAAUGACCUGGGGUCCCAGCUCCCCUGGAGGGGCCUCCUCAUGGUAAGUGAAUGCCAAGAGGUUAAGUUGGCCUGUGUUUCCGAGGUGGAAAUUCCAGGUCGCUGGCUUCAUUUGUCUUCUCUUUUAGAUUGUUUGGGGGUUGAUCACAGACCAAGAGUGACGAGUGAUGUCACCCUGUGACUCAUGGCUGGACCUUCUUGCCCCUAUUGUCUCAGCACAACAUUAUUCGACUUUUCCCUCAGCGUGGGUGGGCAGAGGAAAAGCCCUGUGGCUCUGGGGACUUGGGAUCCAGAGUUGAAGACCCUUCAGCUGGCUCUGCCCUGCCAGUGCCACAGAGUGCCAUGGCCCAGGAAGACAGGUUUUCUUCCAUCUAGGCCAGGCCAUCCAGUGGCCAUCCUCCGUGUCCUCCCGCCUCCUCCUGGUGUGACUUCUGAAAACCAAGAAUUUGUUCCUGUUGACUUUUUCUGUGCUAUGGACCAUUGUCCUCUCACCCACUCAAUAAAUCUUGAAACAUGCC
rnacentral:lncRNA from 1 species